rnacentral:tRNA from 1 species
CAGAGAGUAGUUUAAGAAAAAUAUUAAUUUUGGAGAUUAAUGAUGUUAUUGAGGCUUCUUUGA